CUGAGAGGAUGAUCAGCCACACUGGAACUGAGACACGGUCCAGACUCCUACGGGAGGCAGCAGUGGGGAAUAUUGCACAAUGGGCGCAAGCCUGAUGCAGCCAUGCCGCGUGUGUGAAGAAGGCCUUCGGGUUGUAAAGCACUUUCAGUCGUGAGGAAGGUAGUGUAGUUAAUAGCUGCAUUAUUUGACGUUAGCGACAGAAGAAGCACCGGCUAACUCCGUGCCAGCAGCCGCGGUAAUACGGAGGGUGCGAGCGUUAAUCGGAAUUACUGGGCGUAAAGCGCAUGCAGGUGGUUUGUUAAGUCAGAUGUGAAAGCCCGGGGCUCAACCUCGGAAUUGCAUUUGAAACUGGCAGACUAGAGUACUGUAGAGGGGGG
rnacentral:rRNA from 1 species